rnacentral:snoRNA from 1 species
AUCCCAUGGUGGGGGCAGGCCUGGAUGUACUCCUGGAGCCUUUCCCAAGCCUCAUGAAUGGAUUCGAGUGAAGUCUGCUGGAAGUUUGAUAUCUUUCCCUGAGAGC